CAGCAGUUCCCAUUUUCCUGCACAAAUUCUUCUAUUCCAAAAUCAGUCUCGUAGGCUAUAAAUAUCUUUUACCAGGAUUUUGGGAUAGGCUACAUGGAAGUCAUUGGCAUCAAACAGAAUGAGACCCAGUUAUAAUGUUCUUUGGCCACACAAGUGCUCACAUAUGGUGGACAAACAGUGCUUCUAAACGCAGAGCCUGUAUGGAGCUAAGGAUGCUAUCGCCUGGGCUCAGGGAGAAGUGACAGCCAUCAGAGCUGCUCUGAUCAUUAGGCUGUGUGUCACUGCGGGGUAACUAAGUCAGCAACAACCCAGACACAACGGCAACACGAUGCACUUUAUUAUCCUCUUACCUUUCCAUACAGACCGCCUGAAAAAUGUCACAAAGUGUGACUCAUCACAUCUGCAUGAAGUUAUGAGAAAAGUAAGCCUUGUUAACCUGCUGUUUGAAAACCAGAACACUUUUAUCAGUUCAUAUAAUUGCUAACCCCUUAUUCACUGUUCAACACUGAAGGGUUCUUUGCCUCCUAAGAUCCCACUAAUUGCUGACAGAUUUGAUUUCUCUGUGACAGCAGGAGUCCUGUUUCUGGCCUUUACAUCAAGUAAUUGCUUUAUUUUUCUCCCUCUGCUCUGAAAAACGGAAUUCCCUUCUCCCCUGCUUGAACCUCUGUAAUGACUUCUUUCUAUGUUAUUAAAUCCUUGCCAUUUAAAUCACAUUUAGAGAUGUUUUGAAUAACUGAUUCCAAUUACUAAGGCUCUUACUAAGGAGCAGCUGAAAACGCAAGUCAUUACUUGCCCACAGACAGGCAGCUACACCUUGCAGCAAAGUCUCUGGUGGACCAUAUUUUAUUUCUCCUCGGUAAGGUGCAAUUUAUACUCACAGGAGGCGGGUGUUCAACAAAUAUACAGCCGCUGGAGUUCUCAUGACUUGUCACUCGUGCAAAAUGGAGGCCUGGUUUUAUAUUUGUUUUAUAAAUAGUGCCAUUCCUUACAGAAAUCCUCCUGUCCUUCCUCGGAACAACAAGGAGAUGAGCACUGACCGCGGAAUGACCCACGCAAGGUUUCUAUCCAGGGAUCUAAUAAAAAAGCAUGGCAAGGGAAAAGGAAACAGGACUGCGGGUCGUGCAUUCCUUCCGAGAGGCACGAUCAGCCUCUGUUGUUCUUACAUUGUUUUUUACACAGGUCACGAUUCCUUGAAUCGACGGAGAACUUCCCAGCAAUAACAGCUUAGCUCAGUUAUUAAUCAUGCUUGUAGUCAUUAGCGCCUUUGUAGAAAAAAUAUGUGCCAGGAGAUGAUUAUUUGACAAAUUACUGCAGGGACUCAGCAUAAUAACUUUGCUGAUACAAUCAGCGUUGAGCCAUUAUAAAACAAAAACAACAAAAAAAAAAACAACCAUGUAUGAAGCAACUUCCAAACUGUUUAUGAAAUACACUAUAAAUGAGCGGGGACGGACUUUUAAAUAGUUUGCAUGCAGUUCUUCACAACCGCACGCUCGGUUCAUUCUCAUAUACAGGCACUACUGUGGCACAUGGAAGCAGCUAAUGAACGAAGAUAAUUCAUAAUAACUGAGGAAUGCGCAGCUGUCUCUAAUUCAAGGAGCGUGGAUGCUGCAGAUGAUGCUGGCUGGAGCUGUGCUGGGAAGGCUGCAGCCCGUGGGCAGCUUCCACUGGUGCAGGCUGAACCGGGGCACUGGAACCUGGACAAGAAACACAUAAUCACUUCUGUAUUCGUGCAUUAACUUUCUGACACUUCCUUCUGUCUAGCCCUGAUAAUGAGCCCUGGUUUUCUUUGACCAGCGGAGUAAAGCUACCACCAAGUGGAAUAAAAGGAAGUACGCCCAGCACUACACAAAGAAGUAAGCAGCAAUCACUGGCUUGCACAACCAUAGAAUCAUCAUAGAAUCAUAGAGUGGCUUGAGUUGGAUGGGACCUCAGGGAUCAUGAAGCUCCAACCGCCCUGCCACAUGCAAGUCCGCCAACCUCCAUAUCUAAUGUUAGACCAGGAUGCCCAGGGCCCCCUCCAGCCUGGUUGACGAGUUCCUCACUCUGGAUUGAUUCCACCAUUCCUGUGUCUGCAUCUUUCUGUAAAUUAAAUAAACCCUUUUCUCUCACUUUUUUCCCCCUCAUUCCACAUAAAAAUGCCUAAUUUUGUUUACUAGAAAGUUAAAUGGUUCUCCUCGUAAUUGAAAAGGCUGGAAAGAAAACAAAAAACACUGAGGGUUUGGUUUAAUACCUACUGUGCAGUCACAACAGCUUUUCAUGAUACAACUUAACAACAAGUUUCUUCAAGAAAGAGUUGGGAGAUUUCCUGAGGCAGGACUGCAGGGUCCAGCCUUCACCUAAGUCGCGCUGACAACAGAUUACUGCUACUGAAACAAAGUAAAGGGUCUUCAGGGCGAUUGUAAGUUUAGAGCCUUAGCAGGAGUGCGAAUGAGGCAGGUAAAAGUCAAAGCAAAAUUGCUGUUCCUGCUUAUCCAAGGGAAGCGUGGAGCUGUGUUAGCACACACGCAAAAAAAAAAACCCAACAAAAUAGCAAA
ensembl:lncRNA